AAUCCAGAGAGACCGGAGGAAUCCAGAGAGACCGGAGGAAUCCAGAGAGACCGAGAUCUAGAGGGACUGGAAGAGACAGACAGAGAAGUGGACUUGGUGCUCCGUCCACAUCCGUCUCUGAUGAACGCAGUCCUGUGGAACCAGACUGAACGAGUGGAACCCUCCAGAACUCCAGAACAUGGACCUGUUCCUGUUCCUGUUCCUCUCUGUGAUCUCCUGGAUGUUUGUGGCCUCUGAGUCUGCAGGUUCAGUCCAGAGAAACGUCUCAGCUGUUGAAGGACAAGAUGCUACUCUGCCGUGUGAAGCUCCGAACAACAACAGGACCAUCUUGGUGGUAGAGUGGAUCAGACCAGACCUGAAGGAGAACCAGGAAGUUUUCUUAUACAGAUAUGGAUAUUUUGAUCCAGAUAAUCAUCCUUCUUAUCAGAACCGAACGGAUCUGAAGGACAGAGAGAUGAAGAAUGGAGACGUGAGUCUGAUCCUGAAGAACGUGACCUUCAAUGACAGUGGGACAUACCAGUGUUACAUCAAGCAGAGAGGAGAAAACCCCAGAAGGAAGAGAUCUGCUCCAGGCACUCCACCCACCAGUUCCAUCUUUCUCUCAGUGGUUCCUCCAGGAGACACUGGAGGACGAGGAGGGGAUGGAGGGAGAGGACAUGUUGGUCUGAUUGUUGUUCUGGCUGUAGCUGCUCUGGUUGUUGGUGGUGGUGCUGUGAUGUUUCGAAUACACCACAAGAAGAAGAAGAAGUAGAAGUCUCCUCCUCCUCCUCCUGGUUCUGAUCUAGAUCUUUAUGAACCUUUGAAUUCUUCAUCCUGCUUGAUGAAGACGAUGGAGACCCAGUAGACAGACUUGACUCACAGAGUCUUCAGCCUCCAUUUCUUCCAGUCUGGGUUCAUCCUGGAGGCCAUGCUCUCCAUUUUUGACAGGAUCAGGGUUUGUUUACAGGCUGGACCAUUAGAGAGACCAGCUGGAUCCUGUUCUGGAGGAUCAGGACCAUGAUAGACCCUCUACAGAGACUGGCUGGACCCGGUUCUGAAGUAUUUUUUCUCAGUUUUUUGUUUUUACCUGAUUUUCAGUGUCAUUUGUAGAUCUUAUUUUCCUUAUUUGCAGUGUUACUGACCUGUUCUCUCAUGUCUUUCGCUGUUGAACAUUAUGGAUGGGCUCAAUAUAAUGUAUAUAUUUUACACUUAAUUUCAGAGUUUGUUUGGACAUCAAGUUUUGCGAUGCUGUAAAAACAAUCUGCAUGAAAAAUUCAACUUUGUGAAAGUGUAGAAACAGAUUUUUAUUUUUGAGAAGAGAUGGAAGUUACUUUGCAAACAUCCUGUUUUGAGAUGCAAAGCUUUGAAACAGCAAGAGAGUCUCCGAAAUUGCGAUUGUGAAUUUUGGCAUGCAUGGUCUUGACUCCUCUAUCUGAUUGGAUAGCCUCAAAUGGAACUGUCCAAUCAGGUAGCAGACGGCUUGUUUACAGAUGUAAAAUGUUUCUGGAAUUAUAUUGAGUCCAUACAUUUGCACUGGAUGUUCAGCAGCAUCACUGCACUACACUGUUUUUCUUUAAUAAGCAGAAAUGAAAAAAGAAUCGGUCAGAUAUCAUCAUUGAUGAGUUAACCCCUUAAGGCUUAAAGGAAUACUCCGAAGAUUUUGGACCCACGCCCUAUCCCUAUCAUUUACAAGUGAGAUAAGCUCAUAAAUACCUUUUUUGUGUCCAUUAGUCCAGUG